UACGUAGGGGGCAAGCGUUGUCCGGAAUCAUUGGGCGUAAAGCGCGUGUAGGCGGUUCGAUAAGUCUGCUGUGAAAGUCCAGGGCUCAACCCUGGGAUGCCGGUGGAUACUGUCGGACUAGAGUACGGAAGAGGCGAGUGGAAUUCCCGGUGUAGCGGUGAAAUGCGCAGAUAUCGGGAGGAACACCAAUUGCGAAGGCAGCUCGCUGGGACGUUACUGACGCUGAGACGCGAAAGCGUGGGAGCAAACAGG
rnacentral:rRNA from 1 species